UGACAAUGGGUAGCAGGUGCCGGGGGAAGACGUAGGUCGUAAGUGUUGUUCGGAUGUAGGUGGCGUAAAGUGUGCGUAGGCGGCGCGGGAAGUCGGGUGUGAAAUGUCGUGGCUUAACUCCGAAACUGCAUUCGUUACUGCCGUGCUUGGGGACUGGAGAGGAGACUGGAAUUUACGGUGUAGCGGUGAAAUGCGUAGAUAUCGUAAGGAAGACCAGUGGCGAAGGCGGGUCUCUGGACAGUUCCUGACGCUGAGGCACGAAGGUCAGGGGAGCAAACGGGAUUAGAUACCCCAGUAGUC
rnacentral:rRNA from 1 species